rnacentral:rRNA from 1 species
GACGAACGCUGGCGGCGUGCUUAACACAUGCAAGUCGAGCGAGACUUUCUCUUCGGAGGGAUGCUCUAGCGGCGAACGGGUGAGUAACACGUGGGCAACCUGCCCCUAGCUCUGGGAUAAGCCCGAGAAAUCGGGUCUAAUACUGGAUAUUCACGACAUAGGGCAUCUUGUGUUGUGGAAAGGUUUUCUGGCUGGGGAUGGGCCCGCGGCCUAUCAGCUUGUUGGGGGGUGAUGGCCUACCAAGGCGACGACGGGUAGCCGGCCUGAGAGGGCGACCGGCCACACUGGGACCGAGACACGGCCCAGACUCCUACGGGAGGCAGCAGUGGGGAAUAUUGCGCAAUGGGCGAAAGCCUGACGCAGCGACGCCGCGUGAGGGAUGACGGCCU